rnacentral:lncRNA from 1 species
UCACCGGAUGGCCCGUCGGUUGUCGAGUAGUUCCAGGGGCCCCACCUAUGUUCCGAUAUGCAUGGAGCCCAAGGCCUGCUGCUACGACGUGUGCGCAUAGGAGGAGGUAACUUCCAGUUUUUCAGCCGUGAUAGUGGUCCUUUCCUACGAUGCAAGUAACGCCCUAGGCGGCUGCAGCCAAGGAAAAAAUGCGACUUAGGCGAGGCAACAGAUCCAACGGAUUGUGGCGGCUAUGAAACUAUGACAUUCAUGCAGAAGCGAGUCUUCAAGAUGUACAGACUGCAGCCGGGAACAAGAUCACCGGAGAUCGAUGGUGAGGUCGCUGGCUUGGUGCCCCUGAUCAAGUACUCCGGCUCUACACCUUCUCACUUCUGAUCUGAUUGCUCCAGGCCUCCAGCUACUUCUUUUGUUCUUCUGCUACAAAAUUCCUUCUAUAUCUGAUAUGUCGAUCACUCGAGUUCACCAAUCGGACCUAUUUGCUUCGCCGGCCGGAUCUUUCCUAGGUAAUACUAUUAGUCACUUAAUCAUUAUCACUAUACGUAUGUUGAUAAUUACUCCCUCCGUUCCUAAAUAUAAGUCUUUAAAGAGGUUUCAUUAAUGGACUACAUACGGAUGUAUAUAGACAUACUAUAGAGUAUAGAUUCAUUCAUUUUGCUUUGUAUGUAGAUUUAUAGUGAAAUAUCUUAAAAGACUUAUAUUUUGGAACGGAGGGAGUAGAUUAUGUAAGCUCAACUGAUUUGUAAUUGUUGUCUUUCAGCACUGCCGGAUAUUAUAUCAUCAAGAAAGUAUGAGUUUGGUAAUGAGCAAUAAAAGGAAAAUAGACUUGUAGUCUCUCCGUGUUUAAAUAUGAGUCUUUUUAAAGAUUCUAUCAGGGACUACAUAUGAAGCAAAAUGAGUAAAUCUACACUUCAAAAUAUAUUUAUAUACAUCCGUAUGUAGUUUGCUAGUAAAACAUCUAAAAAGAUUUUAUAUUUAGGAAUGAAGGAAAUAGAUGAGUGGAUAGAAUUACAGAGAGGAACUAUGGAUAAUUUUUUCAAGAUUAAUACGGCCACUUUGAAGAGUAGGAGGUAAUUCAAGUGGACGAACCAACGAAUGGUGUGACGUGUGAAGUAAGUGUUUACGAUCCUAUUGUCCUUUGCAAGAACAUUAAGAUGUUUUAUAUUACCUCCAUCACAGUUUAUAAGACACGCA